rnacentral:misc_RNA from 1 species
GGCUUCAGUGUGAGGGGAUUGUUCAGGAGUUGGAUGAUAGACGUCAGGAACUUCCAAUGGGUACGCUAAAGCAGCUGCAUACUAGGAUGCUCUUUAUACUUACAAGGUGUACCCGAUUGCUUCAAUUCCAUAAGGAAAGUGCGUUUGCUGAGGAUGAACCCGUAUUUCAACUUCGUCAGUCGUUGCAGCCUGUGGAAAAACGCAUUCCUCCUGGCAUUAGAAGAAAUGUUAUGAUGUCUGGUCCUAUGCAAUUCCCAAAGGUGCCGGCCCCCAGAAAAUCUUAUAGUCAGGAACAACAUGGGUUAGAGUGGAAGAGAGUUCAGGCUGUAAAUCAAAAGGACUCUCAGGUUGUGCAAGCUGAAAAUCCAAAAAAAUUGGAGACUCCUGGAGGAGGGGAUCGGAUGAAGAAAUUUCCGACUCCAGCAGUAAAAAGUCCCAAAGAAGCUUCUCCACUCAAGGAGCACACAAUUGAUGGCAAUAUUAAACCUUCAAAGCUAUUAGUGGACAAAAGAGGAAUACCUGAUGUAAAUCUAGCUGCUGACAAGCAUCCUGAGCUUCUUUCUGCUAAAGAUUCUCAUGCACAUUCUUCAAUUCCUUCCAAGCACCAGCAUAAAGUUUCCUGGGGAUACUGGGGUGAUCAACCAAGUGUUUUGGACGAAAAUUCAAUAAUUUGCCGCAUUUGUGAGGAUGAGGUUCCCACUUUGCAUGUAGAAGAUCACUCCAGAAUAUGUGCUAUUGCCGAUCGUUGUGAUCAAAAGGGUCUUAGUGUUAAUGAGCGCUUGCUUAGAAUUACAGAUACUCUUGAGAAGCUCAUGGAGUCAUUUGCACAUAAAGACAUCCCGCAUGCCGUUGGAAGUCCAGAUGGUGCAAAAGUAUCAAACUGUAUUUUAACUGAGGAAUCUGAACCUCUCUCUCCAAAACUUAGUGACGGGUCUUGCAGAGGUUCAGAGGAUAUGCUUGACUGUCUUCCUGAGGUGGAUAACUCUGUUUUCAUGGAUGAACUUAAAGGUUUACCUUCUAUGUCAUGUAGAACCCGGUUUGGACCUAAAUCCGAUCAAGGGAUGACAACAUCAUCUGCUGGCAGCAUGACACCUAGAUCCCCCUUGCUGACUCCAAAGACCAGCCCAAUCGACCUACUAUUGGCAGGAAAAGGUUGUGCCGCUGAGCAUGAUGAUCUUCCUCAGAUGAUUGAACUUGCCGAUAUUGCUCGAUGUGUGGCAACUACACCUAUAGAUGAUGAUCGCUCUUUGCCUUAUUUGCUCUCUUGCCUUGAAGAUUUAAAAGUUGUGACUGAACGCAGAAAGUUAGAUGCACUUACCGUGGAAACAUUUGGAACUCGUAUUGAAAAGCUGAUUCGGGAACAGUAUUUGCAACUGUGUGAGCUAGUCGAUGAUGACAAAGUUGAUCUAACGAGCACUGUCAUUGAUGAAGAUGCUCCCUUGGAAGACGAUGUCGUACGUAGCUUGAGAACUAGCCCAGUUCAUUCCAAAGAUCGUACGUCUAUUGAUGACUUUGAGAUUAUCAAACCAAUUAGUCGUGGGGCAUUUGGUCGGGUUUUCUUGGCAAAAAAGAGAACAACUGGAGAUCUCUUUGCAAUUAAGGUCCUGAAGAAGGCAGACAUGAUACGCAAGAAUGCUGUUGAGAGUAUCUUGGCCGAACGUGAUAUCUUAAUAUCAGU